GACGAACCGUGCGAACGUUGUUCGGAAUCACUGGGCUUAAAGGGCGCGUAGGCGGACUCGCCAGUCCGGGGUGAAAUCUUUCGGCUUAACCGGAAAAGUGCCUUGGAUACUGCGAGCCUUGAGGAAGGUAGGGGCAUGUGGAACUUCCGGUGGAGCGGUGAAGUGCGUUGAUAUCGGAAGGAACGCCGGUGGCGAAAGCGGCUCACUGGACCAUAACUGACGCUGAUGCACGAAAGCUAGGGGAGCAAACAGG
rnacentral:rRNA from 1 species